rnacentral:rRNA from 1 species
UACGUAGGCAGCAAGCGUUGUUCGGAAUUACUGGGCGUAAAGAGUGUGUAGGCGGUGCUCUAAGUCUGUCGUGAAAUCUCCCGGCUUAACUGGGAGGGUGCGGCGGAAACUGGAGUGCUAGAGGGUGGGAGAGGAAAGCGGAAUUCCUGGUGUAGCGGUGAAAUGCGCAGAUAUCGGGAAGAACACCCGUGGCGAAGGCGGCUCUCUGGGACGGUACUGA